rnacentral:rRNA from 1 species
AUUGAACGCUGGCGGCAUGCCUUACACAUGCAAGUCGAACGGCAGCACGGGGGCAACCCUGGUGGCGAGUGGCGAACGGGUGAGUAAUGCACCGGAACGUGCCCAGUAGUGGGGGAUAACCCGGCGAAAGCCGGGCUAAUACCGCAUACGACCUACGGGUGAAAGCGGGGGACCGUAAGGCCUCGCGCUAUUGGAGCGGCCGAUGUCUGAUUAGCUAGUUGGCGGGGUAAAGGCCCACCAAGGCGACGAUCAGUAGCUGGUCUGAGAGGACGACCAGCCACACGGGGACUGAGACACGGCCCAGACUCCUACGGGAGGCAGCAGUGGGGAAUUUUGGACAAUGGGCGCAAGCCUGAGCCAGCCAUGCCGCGUGCGGGAAGAAGGCCUUCGGGUUGUAAACCGCUUUUGGCAGGAACGAAACGGCGCAAGCUAAUACCUUGCGCUAAUGACGGUACCUGCAGAAUAAGCACCGGCUAACUACGUGCCAGCAGCCGCCGUAACAC